rnacentral:lncRNA from 1 species
AUUGGUUGUGAAGGUAUGUAGCGACUCAAACUUUGGCAGGUCUUUGUGUUUGUACCUAGUAGGGGACUUGGGGUGAAUCCCCAUUGAUCAUUGAUCAUUAAGUUAUUUUGAUGAAACGUGAGUUCGGUUUUUGUAGCCUUGAAGAGCAUGAUUAUAGCAUAUCCCAAGUUCAACUUCGAUGGGAUGGGUCAAAUUAAAGUCAUUGCAACCCAACUCAAUUAAGAAAAUACUCAAGUCGGAUCUAGCCAAAAAUAACAAUCAAUUUGACCGUCUAAACCGAGCUCCGACCUAACUCC